rnacentral:lncRNA from 1 species
UUUAUUAAUUUGCGCUUCUUUUUUUUUUUAUUUAACAACAUUUUAAAUGGAAAAAAAAGUAAAAAAAAUGUUUUAUUUAUUAUUAGUAGCAUAGUUAAAAAUAUAUUUACUAAAAAAUGCUGAAAAAAAAUAUAUAUAUAUUUUUUUUUUUUUAAAUCAUGGUAUAUUCCAUUUAAUACCCCUUUUUCAACCAAGCUAUUUUUGUUACAUAUCUAAUAUUGUAGUAAUGAGGAGCUGCUGUUGUACUUACUAAAGGUAGUUGUUCUCCAACUCACAAACCCACGCAUACAGGAGAAAAGAAGCCAAAAGUUGAUGUACAUAGUUUAAUUAAAGAUCUUAUUUCAAAGGAAGAGGCAGCGCAUGAAUUAAAGAAGUCAAACACAAUAUGUAAAAUCAUUGCUACAAUUUUGGGAAUACUAGCUACUGUUGCAACAAUCGCUGCUGGUUUUAUGGCAUAUAGAUGUAUUAAAAACAAGAAAAACCAGGAGGAUCAUCGCAGUAAAAACGAUUUGGAUAGUAAUAAUGAUGGUGAUAGUGGUGGUGGAAAUGAUAAGAAGGAAUUACUUCCAAAAUAUAAAUGAUGUAAUAUCUUUACUGAUACAAGGAUAAACACUGAUAAGGAUAGUUUAAGUAAUAGAUUCUUGAAUUUAUGUAAAGUAAGCUACAAAAUAUAUUUUAUAUUAGUUAUUAUGUUUCUAAGCACCACCAUAUAUAUUUUUAUUAUUUAUAUAAAGAAAUGUUUCAUGUACAUAUAUAUUAAUAAGUACUUAUUUUGUGAAAAUGUCAUCCCUCUUUUAAGAUAAUAAUCUAAUUUUUUAUUAUAUUUUACUAAUAAAAUGUAUUUGGUUGUAGUGAUUUUAACA